AACGAACGCUGGCGGCAGGCUUAACACAUGCAAGUCGAACGGGUGCAGCAAUGCAUCAGUGGCAGACGGGUGAGUAACACGUGGGAACCUUCCUAGGGGUACGGAACAACUCAGGGAAACUUGAGCUAAUACCGUAUACGUCCGUGAGGAGAAAGAUUUAUCGCCCUUAGACGGGCCCGCGUCGGGAUUAGCUAGUUGGUGGGGUAACGGCCUACCAAGGCGACGAUCCGUAGCUGAUCUUAGAGGAAUGAUCAGCCACACUGGGACUGAGACACGGCCCAGACUCCUACGGGAGGCAGCAGUGGGGAAUCUUGGACAAUGGGCGCAAGCCUGAUCCAGUCCAUGCCGCGUGAGUGAAGAAGGUCUUCGGAUUGUAAAGCUCUUUUGCCAGGGACGAUAAUGACGGUACCUGGAGAAUAAGCCCCGGCAAACUUCGUGCCAGCAGCCGCGGUAAU
rnacentral:rRNA from 1 species